GCAAACUUGGUCAUUUAGAGGAAGUAAAAGUCGUAACAAGGUUUCCGUAGGUGAACCUGCGGAAGGAUCAUUAACGUAUCUCUGACGGGGUGCGACCCGCCCUGCUCCGACCCGAGAGGGUUGUGCAGCGGGCGGUCGCCCCCGCUCAAACCUCACAAACCCACCGUGAACCUUCACGGCGGAUGGGGCCCGGUUAGCGCCGUGUCCCUGAAGCCGCAUACCAAACUCCAGUUGUAAAAGAAUGUACUUGCGGACCUUGAGCCGCCUAAACACAUAACAACUUUCAACAACGGAUCUCUUGGCUCUCGCAUCGAUGAAGAACGCAGC
rnacentral:misc_RNA from 1 species